AUCUAUAAUAUUGGCAAAGCUACACAUAUAUAAGUAAAUAAGAAUGCAAGAUGAUAUGCUUAUAUCAAUUCACCUUCUGAAUGCUCCAGACAACUUGCAGCUUAAUCUUCUCGAGAGCGGCAGUCAUCACAUUUUUCCAUGGCCUCGGCGAUACAGGCAUGCUAAAUACACUAUUGGUACAUCUCUUUUCUCUGGUGCAAAAUACACAUCACAGAUGAGCAUGUGAAUUAUCUUGGUGUAAAUACUAUUCAGUUCUGAAAGAAUUCAUUGUGUAGAUCCAUGAACAAAACUUUAGUUUAAACUUAUGUUCCAUGGUUGGAGAAGUUUGGAAGACAAUGUGAAAAAGAUGAGCAUUUUGCUUCCUCAAAUUAUGAUGCUGAUAAAACAUAGCAACAAUGGAUAAACAAAUGUUCUGGCAAGGUAUAGUUAAUAAAUAGAAUGGAUACAAUUUUUUGUCCUUAUGUGUACAGUGUUUUACAUCUUACUGUCAUGGUGCGGUGAUUAAUGUGAUUAUGCAGGUGCUCAUUCAAGAUUGCAUCAAACAAAGAAAAUGUUUGCCAUCUAAGGUGCCAUCGUGUCCUUAUCUAACAAAUUCUUUGAUUACAUGAGUGGUGAGUGACCAGUCACUAUAAUAUUCUCUCACUACGUCAAAGUGACUGGUCAGUUCUAACUGAUAUAUGUAUAUAUUUUUGUUGUUUACUAGAAUAUUCCAUGAAUUUGAAUCAGUCCAAAGAAGCUGAACAGCAUUGACAAUUCCUCCUAAAAAAACGGACUUGUGCAUGACUGCAACAUUACUAUUCAGUUUAGUGAGUCUAAACAAUUUUCGUAGCCAACCAUGUAAUGGAGGGCCUGUAUAUAUUAGAACCUUUUUUGCCCAAUGUAUUGGUGUUUCACAUAAUAAGAUUACACAAAUCCUCCCUACAAGAAAUAUAUAUAUAUAUAUAUUCAGAUUAUGUCUCCACUGUGCCCGAUUGUAUUUCCUUCAAGGGAUGGCAAUUUUUGUGUCUCUGAUAGGAGGAGCAGCGGAGGCAAUGGCGUUCUUUGGUUGGAGCUGUAGCAAGAAUCGAUGGAGAAAGGUGAGGUCAUGGUGGUGGUGUUGGAGCUUGAGAAUUCUGGAGAUGGAUUUAGCGUGCUGCUGCUGCUAUUGUGCUAUUGGAAGGAAGAAGGCUAGCUGGGUGGCUUUUCUGCUCCUGGUGCUUGCCGGCAAGAAGGAAGAGCUACUGGUUGGUGCUGCUUGGUGGAGACAAGAACAGAGGAGAAUUGAACUCCCAUCAAUAAAUGAUUCAUUUUGAUUAACUGGAGCUGGGAUCGGAGUAGUAAUAGCAUAACUUGAAGCUGGGAGUGGUACUAGCAUAACUUGUAGUUCUUUCAGCAAGAGUGGCAGCCUGGCAGGUAUUCAUAUGGUACAAAUAUAUGGGUUUUAUUUUACCUUGUCUUUUAUUUUUCUUACUGUGAACUUGCUCUAUAUAUGGUGAAAACUGAUAUAAUAUUUAUGCCUGUAGUAUUUGCCUGACUUGUACCUAUGUGUUCACCAUUCCUGUCGCACCAAGCAGUGUUUAUGAUCGAGCAGUGAAUACGAAGUCGGCAUUGCGACAAAUAGGAAGUUGCCGAGUUGGGGUCAAUCCAUGCACAUUAGAAAAUUUGUGCAGAAACAUAAUGAAAAUUUAUGAUUAGUGUAGUCUAAACAAAUUUGUGCAUAAUGUGGAUGUGGGGUCCAAAUUAAGUUUUUUUUGGGUAGGUCCAAAUUAAGUUUGUGACUGUAAUUUAGGAAAAAAUAUGAGUAAAUGGAAUUUUUCCCGGAUAUA